GACGAACGCUGGCGGCGUGCUUAACACAUGCAAGUCGAACGGAAAGGCCCUGCUUUUGUGGGGUGCUCGAGUGGCGAACGGGUGAGUAACACGUGAGUAACCUGCCCUUGACUUUGGGAUAACUUCAGGAAACUGGGGCUAAUACCGGAUAGGAGCUCCUGCUGCAUGGUGGGGGUUGGAAAGUUUCGGUGGUUGGGGAUGGACUCCCGGCCUAUCAGCUUGUUGGUGGGGUAGUGGCUUACCAAGGCUUUGACGGGUAGCCGGCCUGAGAGGGUGACCGGCCACAUUGGGACUGAGAUACGGCCCAGACUCCUACGGGAGGCAGCAGUGGGGAAUAUUGCACAAUGGGCGGAAGCCUGAUGCAGCAACGCCGCGUGCGGGAUGACGGCCUUCGGGUUGUAAACCGCUUUCGCCUGUGACGAAGCGUGAGUGACGGUAAUGGGUAAAGAAGCACCGGCUAACUACGUG
rnacentral:rRNA from 1 species